rnacentral:rRNA from 1 species
ACGGGAGGCAGCAGUGGGGGAUAUUGCACAAUGGAGGAAACUCUGAUGCAGCAACGCCGCGUGAGGGAUGAAGGUUUUCGGAUUGUAAACCUCUGUCCUUAGUGAAGAAUAAAUGACGGUAACUAAGGAGGAAGCUCCGGCUAACUACGUGCCAGCAGCCGCGGUAAUACGUAGGGAGCGAGCGUUGUCCGGAUUUAUUGGGUGUAAAGGGUGCGUAGGCGGCCAUGUAAGUCAGGCGUGUAAUUUAGAGGCUUAACCUCUGACUGCGCUUGAAACUGUGUGGCUUGAGUGGAGUAGAGGCAGAUGGAAUUUCCAGUGUAGCGGUGAAAUGCGUAGAUAUUGGAAGGAACACCGGUGGCGAAGGCGAUCUGCUGGGCUCUAACUGACGCUGAGGCACGAAAGCAUGGGGAGCAAACAGGAUUAGAUACCCUGGUA